UACGUAGGAUCCGAGCGUUGUCCGGAAUUACUGGGCGUAAAGGGUGCGUAGGCGGCAAUGUGCGUCAGAGGUGAAAUCCACGGGCUUAACUUGUGGGGUGCCUUUGAUACGGCAUAGCUUGAGUACGAGAGAGGUCGAUGGAAUUCCUGGUGUAGCAGUGAAAUGCGUAGAUAUCAGGAGGAACACCGGUGGCGAAGGCGGUCGGCUGGCUCGUAACUGACGCUGAGGCACGAAAGCGUGGGGAUCAAAC
rnacentral:rRNA from 1 species